CAGAUACGUGAAACCGUUUAGGGGUAAACCUGAGAAACCCGAAAGGUCGAAGGGAGAAAUUCAUUCGCGUUUUCGACGCAGGCGCGGGUCGGAGUUCCGAGCGACGAAACGACCGUUUUUCGGAACGGUAUGCGGUUUCGCGCCCUCCGUCUCGCGAACCGGCGGCGAACGCGUGCACUUUUCUCCUGGUAGGACGUCGCGAUCCGUCGGGUGUCGGUCUACGACUUGCGGUGGAGCCCGUUCGUUUCGUCAUCGCGUACGUACGAACGGACCCGCUCGUUUUUUAUCCGGCCGACUCGCUCGACGGUACGACCUAAGGUCGGAGGCCGCUCGUCUAUAAAUAUAGGAGCGUUCGACGCGUCGCAAGCGCGCCACGUGUGUCGGCACGCGGACCCGGUGCCGCGUCCGAUCUCUGGUGACUGUUGGCGACGACGUUCUCGAACAGACCUCUUUCAUUACUUUUUUUCUCUCUUUCGGGAGGGUGAAAAGUUUUGAGUUCAAAGACCGAUCGGCGACGCUAUAGCUUUGGGUACUUUCAGGACCCGUCUUGAAACACGGACCAAGGAGUCUAGCAUGUACGCGAGUCAUUGGGAACAUCACUAAACCUAAAGGCGUAAUGAAAGUGAAGGUCUUCCUCGCGGAGACCGAGGGAAGACGGACGAUCCCCACGUGUGGGAGAUUUUAAUCGAUUUCCGAUCGUCUUGCAUUCCCGGGGCGUCUCGUUCACAUCGCGUGAAGAGGCGCACCACGAGCGUACACGCUGGGACCCGAAAGAUGGUGAACUAUGCCUGGUCAGGACGAAGUCAGGGGAAACCCUGAUGGAGGUCCGUAGCGAUUCU
rnacentral:rRNA from 1 species